rnacentral:tRNA from 1 species
UCCCUGGUGGUCCAGUGGUUAAGACUCUGCACUCCCAAUGCAGGGGGCCCGGGUUCGAUUCCUGGUCAGGGAA